AAAAAGAGGAAUCACAACAAAAAGUAAUGGUGCAAGGUGCAGCCGUGAUUCCUGCUCAGUGCGCUUAAACCGGCUCGAAAAAAAUACUCGUGCGGGACAGAACGCACAAAUAACAAAUAUGAUUUUGGUUUAACAAGGGUCGCACGGAAAAAAACACGCGAUUCCGACAGUCACACGAGUACGGAUCCGAUUAAAAUCCAAGCGUACAAGCAGGAACACGACGUCUGUUUACACAAGCUCUGAUGAUUCCGGACCACACAAAAUCGUACCGGAUUGCACCGGGAUACUCACGGCACUAAUUAGAACAUACACGUAAAGCCAUGGACUUCUCCACCAGAUAUGAAUCUAGAAGGCAUCAGUACCAGCAAGCAAUGAUCGGUGAACGGAAAGCGAUACGCUUUUAACCAGCCUAGCAAACACGAAAGGAAAACGCCUUCCAAGAGAAUGCUCCUUUUCCGACACUUAAUGUGUCCUACUUCAAGCAUCGGGACUCAGCUACCGGCUCAGCAGAAGUUCCAUCAAGGCUUCAGGUAGAUCAGUUGGUGGAAGGAAUCUGGUUACCGCAGCUGCGCACAGACGCAGGUGAGCAGCCAGAGUACAAGCGGUUAAUAGGAGACCGUGACGCAGUAGGUCAAGGGGAUUUUGCCAGCAUUAACGAAGGCACGCCGGACGGAACUGAGGGUGGCGAGACACACGAUUUAUGUCGUGAGAUGCCGCAGCAGUAUGGCGGGGCCGUGAGUACUAGCUUUUAAGAGGUGAAUAGAAUCAAUAGGGCGGACGGGCAAAGCAGCAGGAAUAGGUGGAUAGAAGAAGUCAGAGGAAAUAGAGGAAUGUAUGAAGAGAGAUGAAUUAAGGGGUAUGAUAUUCAAAAUUACACGUGUAGGUUUUGGUUUUAUAAGCAGUCGGCCCAGGUGAGGCUAGUUGUCACCGAGGCUGUAGAAAGAUAAUGUAACAAAAUGAUAACUUAAGUUGAACAUCUUCGACACACAUAUUAUGCUAAGAUCAAGUUAAGCGUGUAUGGAUCCACCACAAUGGCCGCUUGCCAGUUGAAAGUCUAACUUUCUGCGAUAACUAUCCAUGCAGUGGGGCACUGCAUGAAACGGUUUACAUGCGUCAUCCAUCUGGCUCCAAUGUACUCGAUAAGGAUGUUGUAUGCCAUUUACAAAAGAGCUUACACGAGGUUUAGCAAACAGCAUGUGUGUGGAACCUAACAAUCGAUUCUGUUCUUAAGAAGAUGGGUUUGCAGCAGUCUCAGAAUGAUUCCUAUCCGUACAUUCGACGAAAUGGCGAAAAUGCAAAAAUAAAAGAAUAGCAAAAAGCGGACAUCACGUACAAUUACAGGGUAAUUUUUCUCAAACGUUCGGAACCUGUGACUACAUAAUUCGGAAAAAUGAAUUGACACCGUUGUUGGUUGCAU